rnacentral:piRNA from 1 species
UGUCAGCCCUGGAAGCUGAGGCUGCCUCCAC